rnacentral:rRNA from 1 species
GUAAUCAAUAGCCAAUUAAUUGUUGGCCGGUAUGAAUGGCAUCACGAGGGCCCCCCUGUCUUAAGAGGACUCUCCAUGAAAUUGAAUUCGUAGUGAAGAUGCUACGUCCAUAUUGUAAGACGAAAAGUCCCCAUUGAGCUUUACUAAAGACUUAUAUGGCUCGAAUAACUUAAAUAAAAAGUUUAGAUAAUGUGGGAUCUGUUUUUGGUUAAUGAGACACCACUCUUUUAUUUUAAGAGAACUAACCUUAUAGGGAGAAUGUAAGUUAGAUAGUUUGGUUGGGGCGACCACCUUUUAAAAGGUAACGAAGGUGAGCUUAAGGUCCGUAGUUAAUAGCUAGAGGCCUGACUGCAAGGGGG